AGAGUUUGAUCCUGGCUCAGGACGAACGCUGGCGGCGUGCUUAACACAUGCAAGUCAAGGAGAACGUUUUCUUCGGAAAAUUAUUAAACUGGCGAACGGGUUAGUAACGCGUAGGCAACCUGCCCUUAAGAUUGGGACAACCCUGUGAAAAUGGGGCUAAUACCAAAUAAUAUAAAACAGCUCUGGCUGUUUUAUCAAAGUAGGCUUCGGCUUAUACUUUUGGAUGGGCCUGCGUAUGAUUAGCUUGUUGGUAAGGUAAUGGCUUACCAAGGCUACGAUCAAUAGGUGGUUUGAGAGGAUGAUCACCAACACUGGGACUGAGAUACGGCCCAGACUCCUACGGGAGGCAGCAGUGAGGAAUUUUGCGCAAUGAGCGAAAGCUUGACGCAGCAACGCCGCGUGAUUGAAGAAGGUCUGAGGAUUGUAAAAAUCUGUUAUAAAGGAAGAAUAGCAUUUAUUCUAACAAAUUACUUGUUUGACGGUACUUUAUGAGAAAGCACCGGCUAACUUCGUGCCAGCAGCCGCGGUAAUACGAGGGGUGCAAGCGUUGUCCGGAUUUAUUGGGCGUAAAGAGCUCGUAGGUGGGUUUGUCAGUCAAAAUUGAAAUACAAUGGCUUAACCAUUGUCACGGUUUUCAUACUGUAAAUCUUGAGUUAUGUAGAGGUAAGUGGAAUUUCUGGUGUAGCGGUGAAAUGCGUAGAUAUCAGAAGGAACACCAAAGGCGAAGGCAACUUACUGGACAUAAACUGACACUGAGGAGCGAAAGCGUGGGUAGCAAACAGGAUUAGAGACCCUGGUAGUCCACGCCGUAAACUAUGAGUACUUGGUGAUGGGAGAUUCGACCCUUUCAUUGCCGGAGUUAACGCAUUAAGUACUCCGCCUGGGGACUACGACCGCAAGGUUGAAACUCAAAGGAAUUGACGGGGACCCGCACAAGUGGUGGAUUAUGUGGUUUAAUUCGAUGCAACGCGAAGAACCUUACCUGGACUUGACAUGUUAGUGAUCGUUCUGUGAAAGCAGUUCAUUUCUUAGGCUUGCCUAAGAACACUAUCACAGGUGAUGCAUGGCUGUCGUCAGCUCGUGUCGUGAGAUGUUCGGUUAAGUCCGGCAACGAGCGCAACCCUCGUUCCUAGUUGCCAGCGGGUAAUGCCGGGGACUCGUAGGAGACCGCCGGGGUCAACUCGGAGGAAGGUGGGGACGACGUCAAGUCAUCAUGCCCCUUAUAUCCAGGGCUGCAAACAUGCUACAAUGGCCGGUACAGAGGGCUGCAAAACCGCGAGGUUGAGCGAAUCCCACAAAGCCGGUCUCAGUUCGGAUUGGAGUCUGCAACUCGACUCCAUGAAGGCGGAGUCGCUAGUAAUCCCGGAUCAGCAACGCCGGGGUGAAUACGUUCCCGGGCCUUGUACACACCGCCCGUCACACCACGAAAGUCGGCAACACCCGAAGUCAGUGGCCUAACUCUUUGAGGGAGGAGCUGCCGAAGGUGGGGUUGGCGAUUGGGGUGAAGUCGUAACAA
rnacentral:rRNA from 1 species